rnacentral:rRNA from 1 species
AUUGAACGCUGGCGGCGUGCCUAACACAUGCAAGUCGAGCGGUAACAGGUGUAGCAAUACAUGCUGACGAGCGGCGGACGGGUGAGUAACGCUUGGGAAUCUGCCUAUUAGUGGGGGACAACCCGGGGAAACUCGGGCUAAUACCGCAUACGCACUACGGUGGAAAGCCGGGGACCGCAAGGCCUGGCGCUAACAGAUGAGCCCAAGUCGGAUUAGCUAGUUGGUAGGGUAACGGCCUACCAAGGCGACGAUCCGUAACUGGUCGGAGAGGACGACCAGUCACACCGGAACUGAGACACGGUCCGGACUCCUACGGGAGGCAGCAGUGGGGAAUAUUGGACAAUGGGCGAAAGCCUGAUCCAGCGACGCCGCGUGGGUGAAGAAGGCCUGCGGGUUGUAAAGA